CAGCAGCUGUGGAUACUUGUUGACACUCACUUACUGGAAAGACAAUUUCCCCUGCCCACGAGGCAUGAGAUCCUUCUUGUCCCUGGAGUUUUACUUCGGCGAAGCCAGUGGUUAUGCAAUUGGCAAUCGUUUGGAUCACGAUGUCCGGGGACUGACAAUCCGUCCACGUACCCCUGCUGUCAUCUUGAGCUCUGUGGACUUGGGUGACUGUAACUCAGAUAAGGCGGAAGUCAAAGCGUUGUUUCCUGGUAACAGCAGGUGACGCUGUGCGGACCCGACAACCAGGAUGGUGAUGAGGAAGAAACCAUGUCUGUAUGAGGAAACACGUGGGGUGUAAGCAAGUAGUAGUUCCAGAAUGCUCGAAGAUGACCACAGCAGCAGGAGUUGGGGCCGGGAAAGCAUCUGCUCAGCCUCUACUGACCGACCAGCCUUCUUUAUUGGGUGCCUUGUGUGACAAAGGAAUGGCUAUUUAAUAAUGGAAAACACUUAAAACAAGAACAAGAACAAAACAAAACAAAACUCCUGAGCUCUUAAAUGGAAAAAAAGGAGACAUAGCCCCAGUCAGCACCACGGAACAGUAGGGAAGGAGCAAAUGCUGGCAGCUUAAAAAAGCCUUGCCUGGUUUGGCACAAUGCUCCCGAAUUUUGCGUUGAGAUUGCUUUUCUUCAACGUCCUUUGUUCUUUUUCCGGUCAGCAGAUUGAGAUGGCGUUGGAGCCACAGCUUCUGAUUCCCGUUUGACCAAGAGCAGGGCCUUUUGUGUAUGGAGCCCAUUCUUUAAUAUGCCACCUAAAGAAUAACAGAGUGUCCGCCACCCUCCGGCCUUGUUCUAUGCCAGAAUGUCCACCCCGACACCGCCAGUCCCCACACCCGGUUCAUCCGUUUUUGGUUCUUAUGGCCGGUUCAGAAUAUCUAACUUGAAGUGGACAAAAAUCAGUGCAACCUGGCACCAUCAGCUGCCCCGAAGCACAGCUCUCCCUGCCCAUCCUUCCUCUCCGUUUUGACCAUAAGAUGACGCGUAAAAAAAUAAAAUGGAAAGCAGAGAUACUUACAAGACCAAGAGAGGGCAGAAAGCUGCUUAAGAUAUUGGUUUGAGUCCACAGGAGGGAAGCAUAGGAGGAGGUGAGAUAAUGGGCUUAUGGGCUACGUGAUAAACGCAAUAAACUCCCGGCGGGGAGGACAGUAAGGACCUCUGUGUGGGUUACUUGGUACCCUGCCUACACUCAGGAGAGAGUAAAUUUUCAGCCACAUCAAAGUCCUUCUCAAAAAAAAAAAACCCAGAAAACAAAACAAAAACCUCAUUAAGAGUGCCAUUUCUAGGGAUCCUGUCAGCCAGACGAUAAGAAACCUGAAAAUAAUCGCUUCUGUCUUGCCUGCUGCCCUCUCAGACACUGGCUGAGCUGUUGGCUGU